rnacentral:rRNA from 1 species
GACGAACGCUGGCGGCGUGCUUAACACAUGCAAGUCGAGCGGUAAGGCCCUUCGGGGUACACGAGCGGCGAACGGGUGAGUAACACGUGGGUGACCUGCCUCUAGCUCUGGGAUAAGCCUGGGAAACCGGGUCUAAUACCGGAUAUGACUCCAUGACGCAUGUUGUGGGGUGGAAAGCCUUGUGCGGCUGAGGAUGGGCCCGCGGCCUAUCAGCUUGUUGGUGGGGUGAUGGCCUACCAAGGCGACGACGGGUAGCCGGCCUGAGAGGGCGACCGGCCACACUGGGACUGAGACACGGCCCAGACUCCUACGGGAGGCAGCAGUGGGGAAUCUUGCGCAAUGGGCGAAAGCCUGACGCAGCGACGCCGCGUGAGGGAUGACGGCCU